GUGAGUAACACGUGGGUAACCUGCCCAUCAGAAGGGGAUAACACUUGGAAACAGGUGCUAAUACCGUAUAACACUAUUUUCCGCAUGGAAGAAAGUUGAAAGGCGCUUUUGCGUCACUGAUGGAUGGACCCGCGGUGCAUUAGCUAGUUGGUGAGGUAACGGCUCACCAAGGCCACGAUGCAUAGCCGACCUGAGAGGGUGAUCGGCCACACUGGGACUGAGACACGGCCCAGACUCCUACGGGAGGCAGCAGUAGGGAAUCUUCGGCAAUGGACGAAAGUCUGACCGAGCAACGCCGCGUGAGUGAAGAAGGUUUUCGGAUCGUAAAACUCUGUUGUUAGAGAAGAACAAGGAUGAGAGUAAAAUGUUCAUCCCUUGACGGUAUCUAACCAGAAAGCCACGGCUAACUACGUGCCAGCAGCCGCGGUAAUACGUAGGUGGCAAGCGUUGUCCGGAUUUAUUGGGCGUAAAGCGAGCGCAGGCGGUUUCUUAAGUCUGAUGUGAAAGCCCCCGGCUCAACCGGGGAGGGUCAUUGGAAACUGGGAGACUUGAGUGCAGAAGAGGAGAGUGGAAUUCCAUGUGUAGCGGUGAAAUGCGUAGAUAUAUGGAGGAACACCAGUGGCGAAGGCGGCUCUCUGGUCUGUAACUGACGCUGAGGCUCGAAAGCGUGGGGAGCGAACAGGAUUAGAUACCCUGGUAGUCCACGCCGUAAA
rnacentral:rRNA from 1 species